rnacentral:rRNA from 1 species
UACAGAGGCCCCAAGCGUUACUGAGAAUCACUGGGUUUAAAGGGUGCGUAGGUGGCGCGUUAAGUCCGUUGUGAAAUCCCUUGGCUCAACCAAGGAAAUGCUUCGGAUACUGGCGUGCUUGAGGCUAGUAUGGGUCACUGGAACUGACGGUGGAGCGGUGAAAUGCGUAGAUAUCGUCAGGAACGCCAAUGGUGAAGACAGGUGACUGGGCUAGAUCUGACACUGAGGCACGAAAGCGUGGGGAGCGAACGGG